rnacentral:rRNA from 1 species
UACAGAGGGUGCAAGCGUUGUUCGGAAUUAUUGGGCGUAAAGCGCACGUAGGCGGCUUUGUAAGUUAGAGGUGAAAGCCCGGGGCUCAACUCCGGAAUUGCCUUUAAGACUGCAUCGCUAGAAUUGUGGAGAGGUAAGUGGAAUUCCGAGUGUAGAGGUGAAAUUCGUAGAUAUUCGGAAGAACACCAGUGGCGAAGGCGACUUACUGGACACAUAUUGACGCUGAGGUGCGAAAGCGUGGGGAGCAAACAGG